CACGUAUUUAGCCGGGGCUUCUUGGUCAGGUACCGUCAAUGUCUUCCCUGCUGACAGAGCUUUACAUACCGAAGUACUCCAUUGCUCACGCGGCGUCGCUGCAUCAGGGUUGCCCCCAUUGUGCAAUAUCCCCCACUGCUGCCUCCCGUAGGAGUCUGGGCCGUGUCUCAGUCCCAAUGUGGCCGCCCACCCUCUCAGGCCGGCUACUGAUCGUCGCCUUGGUGGGCCGUUACCCCGCCAACAAGCUAAUCAGACGCGGACCCAUCCCGCACCGCCUGGGCUUUCCGCACAGCCCCAUGCGGGGCCGUGCGCAUAUGCGGUAUUAGCAGCCGUUUCCGGCUGUUCGUCCCCCAGUGGCGGGGUAGGUUGUCCGACGCGUUACUCACCCGUCCGCCGACUCAGUCACGAGGGCUUCGUCUACCGAAAAACGUCCGCCCCAGUCGCUUCGUCGACUUGC
rnacentral:rRNA from 1 species